rnacentral:ncRNA from 1 species
AAUAGGUCAAGUUGACUUGUAACCGGUAAAACAGGUCAAAAAAAAAUUCAAAAUGAUCUUUCUUAUUUCCCCCUCCUCCCCCAAAACCCCCACCCAUUCCGGACCACCUCACGCAAAGUCGUAAGAUCAUGUAUGGGGGCUGAUGCCUGCCCAGUGCUAGAAGGUCAAGGAAGUGGGUGGCCUCCUGACAGGGGAGUCGACGACCGAAGCCCCGGUGAACGGCGACCGUAACUAUAACAGUCCUAAGGUAGCGAAAUUUCUUGUCGGGUAAGUUCCGACCCGCACGAAAGGCGUAACGAUCUGGGC